rnacentral:rRNA from 1 species
ACGAUGAAGACAGAAAGCUGAGCAGCCAUGCCGCGUGCGUGAGACAGCCCUACGGGUUGUAAACUGCUUUUCUGCCGGAAGAAAGUCCCGCAUUCGGUGCGUAAUUGCCUGUACGGCACGAAUAAGCAUCCGCUAACUCCGCGCCAGCCCCCGCGGUAAUACAGAGGAUAGGGGCGUUAUCCGGAUUCAUUGGGUUUAAGGGGUGCGGAGGCGGGGGGAUAAGUCAGUGGUGAAAGCCCGGGUCUCACCUCCGGGAUUGCCUUUGAAACUGUCUCUCUUGAUUGUAGUCGAGGACGGGAGAAUGAGUAAUGUGGGGAAAGAAUGAAUAGGUAUAACUCACAACACAGAUUGCAGAGGCAGCUGUCUAGGCUAUAACUGACGCUGAGGCACGAAAGCAUGGGGAGCGAACAGGAUUAGUUACCCUGGUAGUCCACCCUGUAAACAAUGAUCACUCGCUGUUGGUCACCUAGUGGCCAGUGGCUGAGGGAAACCAUUAAUUGAUCCACCUGGGGAGUACGUCGACAACAAUAAAACUCAAAUUUUUUUGGGGGGUUCGGG